rnacentral:rRNA from 1 species
UAACAAGGUCUCCGUUGGUGAACCAGCGGAGGGAUCAUUAUAGAGUUAUUACAACUCCCCAACCCAUGUGAACCUACCUUCUGUUGCCUCGGCAGGUCGCGGUUACCCAGUAGGGCCCUACCCUGUGAGACCUUACCCUGUAAGGCCUUACCCGGAAAGGACCUACCCGGUACCCGCGGCAUAGCCUGCCGGUGGCCUGUACCCAUUCUGUUUUAGUAUGUUAUCUCUGAUUGUAUUACUGAAUACGUUAAAACUUUCAACAACGGAUCUCUUGGUUCUGGCAUCGAUGAAGAACGCAGCGAAAUGCGAUAAGUAAUGUGAAUUGCAGAAUUCAGUGAAUCAUCGAAUCUUUGAACGCACAUUGCGCCCAUUAGUAUUCUAGUGGGCAUGCCUGUUCGAGCGUCAUUUCAACCCUUAAGCCCCUGUUGCUUAGCGUUGGGAGCCUACGGUUUCCGUAGCUCCCCAAAUGUAGUGGCGGAGUCGGUUCACCCUCUAGACGUAGUAGAUUCUAUCUCGCCUAUAGAUGAGCCGGUCCCUUGCCGUAAAACCCCCCUAAUCUUACAAGGUUGACCUCGGAUCAGGUAGGAAUACCCGCUGAACUUAAGCAUAU